rnacentral:sRNA from 1 species
GCUUUGGACAUAAAAAUACUCUCAUAAAUUAAUAUGCUUUGGAAAAAAGGCGGCAUUAAGUCGCC